rnacentral:tRNA from 3 species
CAGAAAAUAGUUUAAGAAAAAUAUUAAUUUUGGGAAUUAAAAAUAAAGAGUUCUCUUUUUUUCUGA